rnacentral:rRNA from 1 species
AUGGCCAGCUUCAGCAGGUGGUGCCCAAGCAGGCACUUGUCUUUGGGGAUGCCUCUGCUUUGGCUGGGGGGCGUUUCGGAAGGCCAGCUUGCCCAGGGCGCAUCCCUCUUCAUCAACACGGGAACUCUAGGGGCGCCGCCUGCGGUGGCUACUGCUGGUAGCGGGCUUGGGGUGCACUCCUACAUCACGCCUGGUGCACCCUGGGUGUCAAAGGAGGGGCCAGUUGAAGCUCCUACCGAGGUGGUGCUGCCGGGUGCGAAGGCCCCGACUGCUUCUGUUGCAGCUGCGCCUUCUAUGGAUGAUCAGGUCCAGGUUCCAGGAGAGGUGCAGACCGGCGACACCAACCUUGCUGCACCUUCUGGGCUGCUGCCGGUGGGGCCGGUGGUGGGUUCAAUGCUGGCAGCCCAUGGAGGACAGCGUCUUUGCAUCGACGCAAAGGGCGUGGAGACCAUUUGGGGUCGCUGGAAGCGCGUCCACAGAGAGGAGCACAAGGAGCAUGCUGUGGUGCAGUACGCCGGUGUCAAGCAUGCCAUGUUUGGCGUGCCUACCCCGCCGAACAGUGGCAGCGAGCUCUCCAGCCGCAAGGCCGCGUUUGUCGGCAUCCGCGAGAACACGGUGCUGUCUAAGAGGCGGUGCCCGGAUGACCAAGACUUCAUCAUCAACAUGAAUAGCACUAGUUCUGAGAGUGUAGAAUUUUCUUCUUGUAAGAGAGCUUGUGUUGAGAGAGUUGAGGCUGUGAUAGGUGUAGAUGGGGUAGUCACUCAUGUUACUAAGGAAGUGGAUGGGGGAGAGGAAGUGUAUCAGGAAAAAAAGAGAGAAUUUGUAGGUGAGGGGAGAGCUAUUGAUGAGGCUGCUAAGGAAGCUACCGACCAUGGGGUUGUCGGUCAACUGACGGGCGCGGAUGUGAGCGCCUGUCAGGAGCCAUGA